AUUAUUAUUUUCUUUCCAACUAUCACUGUUGUCAAUGAGAAGAUGUUUUCCUCUUUUGUCUGAUCUCCUUCUUCUUGAUUGUAGAUAUCGAGCUUGUGCACUGAAAUGGCAUCCAGAUCGUCACCAAGGUUCUGUUCCUAACUUCAGUAAAUACAAGCCCCAAAAGGAAUUUCCGAUUCUUUCUUAUCGUUCUCUUUGAAUCCAUUCUCAAUAUCAAUUUUCUCUUACUCAAUGAAUACCCUUUUGAUCGAAAUCGUAGAACCUGACUCUGGUCCUUCUCAAAAUCUUCAUCGGUCGCCGCAUAAAGAAACCCUAAAUGGCCAUUCUUUGGUUUCUUUAUCUUCAAAUCGAGAUGGUUCUUCACCAAUUUCAGGUAUAGCCCCUUCUACUUCAAAAACCCUUGAUCGGUCUUCUUCAUCAAUGGAAGAUACUGAAACCCUAGAUGAUAAUCAUGAUAGUUAUCAAUCUUUGGUUCAUUUUGGGCCUCAGCCUUUGAGUAUCGAUGGGUCUUCAGAAGCAAUGCGUCCCCAAGGGUGAAAUUGAUGUUGCAAGGGUGUUGGAGAAGGCCCACUCAAGCUUGAAAGCCAAGGGUUCAUCAACAGCCUGCAUCAUUGCCCUUACAAUAAGCAAGGACUCUUGUUAUGCUUGAAAAUGAGGACAGUUAGAUUUGAGAGAGCUUCUUCUGAAAUGUGGAAGGUAUUGUAGCUUUAGUAGCGUCAUUCUUAUAGUACUACUUAGAAAGCCUAUUGUUUAGCAUGUUUCACUAAUAUGUUUUAUUUACAGCAUUUGUCUCUGUAUGUA